rnacentral:piRNA from 1 species
UCUUCUUUUUAUUAAUUUUGA